UGCUUUAUUUGGUGACAAAUCUCACUUAUGGGGGCAAAUUAGGUCCAAAGUAACCAUUUGUCAGACAAUUAGAUGGUAUUAGUUACAUAAUUGGUACCUUUUGUGCCAUUCAUUGGCUGUCUCCAUUAUUUUAUAUUAUUCAACCCAUAAACCGGUUGCAUAUGGACGAGAAAAAGUAGAAAAGUUUCCUCUGCAAAACAGCAAUAGCAGUCAUGGUCUUCCCAAUGAAUACACUGUUUGCAGUGCUGAGGACGAUGAUGAACACGAUGAUGGUGAUGUUGAUGUUGUUGGGUUCGUGAUGAACGAUGUUGAACGAUUUUAGAUGAAUGAGUUGAGUUGGUUGAAGAUCUAUGAAGAUGAUGACGAAAGCUACGAAUCUGAAUCUCGGAUCCGACCCUUCCACGGGAUUAGGGUUUCAGGAGAUCUCGGUCGCAAGUUCUUUUCCAAUAUGAUUGGUUAGCAGAAUUUUGUGGGAAGUGGCGGUUUGAGUCGGUGAUGCAGCCUGUUUCUUCGGGAACCAGUUUGUUAUUCGUUUCGGUUGAGCUUUAUGCAGGGCUGCAGUUCUCAUAAGACCAUUACUUGAACAUUAUAGUAAAAUAAAUUCUUACUUCUUGCAGAGAUUUAAGCUUCAAUAUGUUUUCUGGUUCAAUCCCAAAUUCAAUCCAGGGAUUGAAAAGGCUAAAUUACAUGUAAGUGAACAUUCAUUUACCGGCCGACCAUAAGAUUAACCAAAAUAAUACAUCUAUAUGUUGAUAUCUAAAGAAUUAGCUGUUUUUCCUUUGUUGAUUUAACUUUGCUGUUUGGAUGUAGGUUUAUGACAAAUAAUUCUUUGAGUGGACCGAUUCAAGACUGGAUACUUAACUUCAAAUUCAAUAAUUUUUCAAUCUGUGAAAUAACUUCACUCAUUUUUCUUUUUUGAAUACCUUUCUUUAUAUUCAUUUGAAGCAUCAAACAUGUCUCUUUGAUUAUAGCGGAAAAGUGGAUGAUUCCAUAGGCAAUUUCUAUUCUCUUAGUGUAGUCAUUUCUUUUCAUCUUCCCAUCACCUCCCUGUUUGAUUAAUUCACUACUAUAUUGCAGAAGAAGAAUAAGAUGAAAGUGGAUUGUAAGGUGAAGUGGAUAGCUGUAGCAGUGAAAAUCCGUUUUGACUGUAGCGACCUCAACGAAACAGAAGGCUGCAGUUCCGGAACAGUUUCAACUGAACGAUGCACUUGAUCUAC